ACAUUAUUCCCUUUUCCAUGUAGUCAACACAAGCUUGUACCAUGUACGUUCUGCGACGUUACCAAGUAAAACACGACAAUUUACCCAGUAAUUAAGCUGAAACUGUACUGUAAAAGGAAGCCUUGUUUGUUUCCAUGGUAUUACCACACAGUAAAAAAUAAAGUGUCAUUAUUGCAGAGUAAAACUAUUUUCCUCUGGAUAGAGUAGUUAUAACAAUGUACAGAGUAAAAUCGUCUAAAUAGUAGUGUCAAAAGUGAGAGUUAAGUCCAACAUGCACACAAUGACCAAAUCUACUCUACAUGGUGAUGAUUCCCCGCGAAAGUACUAGUCUGAACUGGAGCUCGAGCGGGCAGUGGCACGUUGGAAAUCGUCUCUCUCCCCACUAGCAGACCUAUCGUGAAAAUGCUGCUGCGUGUCUCGUUUGGCGGAGUGCAGAAGUACAUGAAGCUGCCUGAACUAACAUUCGGUGAUUUCUUGAGAGAAGAGGUCGACUCUGAAGUUUUUGAGGAGAUCGUACAAGAGUUCCAUGGACCUUUCCUAAUUUCAUUGGCCAAUGAAGCACCUGGUUACCCUCAGUCCACGUCAUCUCCAUGCUCUAUUGCAUCUGAAGACACAGUGAUCCUCAACUUCUCGUUGUGUGACCCAGCUGAGGAGCCAGUUGCAGCCGAAGGAAGUCAACCUAAAAGGCCUUGCCGCAUUAACUAUGAAGCAAAAGCUCCUGGAGGUGACCGUGUCAUGGAGGAGUAUGCGAAAACGAAAUCAUUUACAGAUUCAACCAGAAGACAGCUCAUCAACAUACUUACUGCAGAGAUGACGGAAACACAUGGCACAUCGCCGCCCCGGAGUGUAAAAGUGAUGUAUGCACAGGGGAUUGUCGCUCUGUUUCCAUACCUUGAAGACCCAUAUUCACAGAAUGGCUAUGAACAUUACUACGAUCCUGAAAGUGGUUCAGGCUACAUUGCAUGGCGGUUGAAGACAAUUCAACGAAAAGCUGCUGAGGAAAGAGGUCCUGCAUUGGUGGGCCAGGCCAUGGGCGUACUAGACCCUUUACUGCCGACAGAGUCCUGACUGACGAGGAAGUGGAAUGCGCUAUCGCUUUGUUGAGACACACUGCUGAUGAGGAGACCAUCCGUGAAAAGAUGAAAGUCACUUUCGCAUACCGCCACGCCAUGGUCAAUGAUGAGAACAAAUCAGCAGAGGUCUUCUCAGUAUUUCCACGGUUCCUAGACACACCAGGGGUCUCAUUUAUAAAACUUUGCGUGGGAUCGUUACUAAAAAUGUACGUACGCCCAGA
ensembl:lncRNA